rnacentral:misc_RNA from 1 species
CCAAUAGCGUAUAUUAAAGUUGUUGCAGUUAAAAAGCUCGUAGUUGAACUGCGGGGUUUACCCAUUGGUCAGGCUUAAUUGUCUGUACUGGUGAGAUAAAUCUCUACCUUCUGAGGAACUUUCAUGUCAUUAAUUUGGUGUGAUUGGAAAUCAGGACUGUUACUUUGAAAAAAUUAGAGUGUUUAAAGCAGGCUAACGUCUGAAUACAUUAGCAUGGAAUAAUGAAAUAGGACGGACUGAUUCUAUUUCGUUGGUUUCUAGGAUCACCGUAAUGAUUAAUAGUGAUAGUUGGGGGCAUUAGUAUUCAAUUGUCAGAGGUGAAAUUCUUGGAUUUAUUGAAGACUAACUACUGCGAAAGCAUUUGCCAAGGAUGUUUUCAUUAAUCAAGAACGAAAGUUAGGGGAUCGAAGACGAUCAGAUACCGUCGUAGUCUUAACCAUAAACUAUGCCGACUAGGGAUCGGACGAAGUUAAUUUUAUAAUGACGCGUUCGGCACCUUACG